UACGUAGGCAGCAAGCGUUGUUCGGAAUUACUGGGCGUAAAGAGCGUGUAGGCGGCCAGAUAGGUCCGUUGUGAAAACUCGAGGCUCAACCUCGAGACGCCGAUGGAAACCAUUUGGCUAGAGUCCGGAAGAGGAGAGUGGAAUUCCUGGUGUAGCGGUGAAAUGCGCAGAUAUCGGGAAGAACACCCGUGGCGAAGGCGGCUCUCUGGGACGGUACUGACGCUGAGACGCGAAAGCGUGGGGAGCGAACAGG
rnacentral:rRNA from 1 species